rnacentral:rRNA from 1 species
GAUGAACGCUGGCGGCGUGCCUAAUACAUGCCAGUCGAGCGAACAGACGAGGAGCUUGCUCCUCUGACGUUAGCGGCGGACGGGUGAGUAACACGUGGAUAACCUACCUAUAAGACUGGGAUAACUUCGGGAAACCGGAGCUAAUACCGGAUAAUAUAUUGAACCGCAUGGUUCAAUAGUGAAAGACGGUUUUGCUGUCACUUAUAGAUGGAUCCGCGCCGCAUUAGCUAGUUGGUAAGGUAACGGCUUACCAAGGCAACGAUGCGUAGACGACCUGAGAGGGUGGUCGGCCACACUGGAACUGAGACAGGGUCCAGACUCCUACGGGAGGCAGCAGUAGGGAAUCUUCCGCAAUGGGCGAAAGCCUGACGGAGCAACGCCGCGUGAGUGAUGAAGGUCUUCGGAUCGUAAAACUCUGUUAUUGGGGAAGAACAAAUGUGUAAGUAACUAUGCACGUCUUGACGGUACCUAAUCAGAAAGCCACGGCUAACUACGUG